rnacentral:rRNA from 1 species
UGGGGAAUAUUGGACAAUGGGCGAAAGCCUGAUCCAGCCAUGCCGCGUGUGUGAAGAAGGUCUUCGGAUUGUAAAGCACUUUAAGUUGGGAGGAAGGGCAUUAACCUAAUACGUUAGUGUUUUGACGUUACCGACAGAAUAAGCACCGGCUAACUCUGUGCCAGCAGCCGCGGUAAUACAGAGGGUGCAAGCGUUAAUCGGAAUUACUGGGCGUAAAGCGCGCGUAGGUGGUUUGUUAAGUUGGAUGUGAAAUCCCCGGGCUCAACCUGGGAACUGCAUUCAAAACUGACUGACUAGAGUAUGGUAGAGGGUGGUGGAAUAUACUGUGUAGCGGUGAAAUGCGUAGAUAUAGGAAGGAACACCAGUGGAGAAGGCGACAACCUGGACUAAUACUGAUACUGAGGUGGGAAAGCGUGGGGGGCAAACA